AUCGCCUGGAGCUGUUCAGCUUCGGUAGGGGGGUUGGGCCACGGUCCUGUUCCUGCGAUCACGCCAGCGCUGGCACCUGCCUCAUCAGGACGAGCUCCAGCCCUAUAUGACAGAGAACAGGACUGGACAGCAUGUCGCUGGAAGCUGCAGGACACAUAAUCUGUAAGACCUAAACACAGCAUUCCACUAGAAGGCUACACCAGGUGAAGUCAAACGCUACCACACACUAGCCUUCUCUUCGCCUUCACUCUACCUGGACUUCUCGUAUGGAGUCCAUCUCUGCUGCAGGGUGUGGAACCUGUGUUGGCUGAAACAUAAGCACAGGAGCAUGCAGCUGUCACUUAAUCACCCUGCGUCUGACCAGAGCACAUGGAUGGGUGAGAACGUCUUUGGGUUUCCUUCACCUUUAAACCUUACAUACUCUUAAGACGUUGUGUCUCACAGGAAGUCGGAUCACAUUGAUUACUGUCAUAAUAUAUUUGGUGUAUUUGCAGGUUUUUCCCACCCAUGUCAUUUCUUUUGCAGGAUAUUCUUCACAGGAUUUGUUUUGUAGGAUUUUAUUUUUGCAGGACUUUAUUUCUUUUGCAGAACUUCUUUACAGGGUUUAUUUUUGCACGAUUAUAGUAAAUUGUCUUUGGCAUUUUUAAUAUUUAUAUAAUGGUGAUAAUGGGUUAAAUAUAAAGAUGAAAACACUCUAUAUGUCUAUAUGGAAGGAAAAUUUGUAAAUUAUGUAAGACUCUAAUAUAGAUUGUAUCUAUAAAUAUUGUUUUCUUAACUAUUCUUGCUGACUAAAUGCAGAAGACAGUGACCAUCAAACAUUUAGUCACUCAAAUAUUUUCAGGUAAUCUCAGAUUUUGAAAACACUGAAGGAAGGAACAUUACUAAAUUACUGCAUUUUCUAAUCUAGAUAUUUUGGUAUUUGCAAGACUCCACCACACGUCAUCUCUCUCGGUUGCUGAAAAAUGUAUUAAUACUUUAGUUUUUUUUAAGUAUAUUAUUAUUAUUUGUUCAUUUUAGAAGGUAUUUGGUAUUACUCAACUCUUCCUGCUGACUAGAUUAAUAUAGUGGCCACCAAAAAUGUAGGCACUCAACUGUUGACAGGUAAUCCCAGACUUUGUUCUUUUAUUAUCUCAUUCCAAUCAGAGAGAUUAAAUGAAAAUUAUUACAAAACAGUGUACGUAUUACCACGUGGAUGAUCUCAAAUGUAUUUAUAGGUUUUGCUAGACACAUAAACUGAAUCCAACACUCACCCGCUGGGUCCAGGCCUCUGGUUUGGAGGAAAUCGCCAGUCAGCAUUAGGUGGAUUUUGCUUGAAAAUAAGAAAAAAAGAGAGAUUUGUCAAUACGUUUGUUCGUCAUAGAGAUUCAUAUCCACUAUUGGUCCAUCCUGGAUCACAGGUCCUUCCAUCCUGUCCUAGAAGGUUGCAGUUCUGAAACACAAAUUUGAAUUAUUGACAGCAAAGUACAUUUUGGUGCACUUCCUCAGCUUUUCCUCAGGACUAUUUUCUGAAACUUCACAUUUGCUGAUACAGAAAAAAAAAAGUUGAAGGCAGUAGUCACAAACAGCAACAAAGAAGAACAUAAAGUAGAAAAUGGGUUAUGGGAGAGUGUGUGUGAAUAAUUGAAACUUCGAUCAUGUUGCUGUCACGCAUGAGUGCAUGUACAUGAGGAGGAUCUGUAUCAAACAAAAUAUGAGCUAACUUGUAGGAGGAUUAUGGCUAAAAUAUCAACCCUCUUUGGAUUUUUUCAUCACUUUGUCAUAUUUUCCUUAGUUUCCCAUACAAUUCUAUUGCAUCUCCCUACACUGAGUUGAGUCAUUGUGAUGCAAGAUAGCAUUCAAGCAUGUGCAAUAUCCCACUUUGAUCCUACAAACUCUAUUAUAGAUUCCACAGAGACUGUCUGCUAUUCGGAACUGUAUGCAUACAACUUCAUACAACUGCUUCUGCUUUGUAAAUCAUAUUGACUGUAACAAUCUGCCUCACCUGACUUGAGCAUUGGAACACAAUAUUUUCGGUCAUAAUUCUUCUCAGAUUUAUACAGUUAAAUUCUCUGCUGAAUCAUUUGGUCUAGAAAAAGCUCAGAUUGUGGCCCGAUUCUUAAUACACUUGGCAUUAUAGAGUGCUUAGUCCAAAAUGUGAGUCAUAGUAACUAGAGCCAUUAAUGACAUACACAGCAUGAUUUCCAUAUAACUAAAAAUGAUUUUGAGAAAUGGUGACAAUAAAAUUAAUACUACAAAUAUAUGAAUCAUGUAUCAUUUGUUUCACUAACAUAUGCAAACAUUUUUUACUUAACGGAAAGUAACUGCAUACACUACCCAUCAAAAUUUGCCGUCAGUAAGAAUUUUUAAAAUAAAUUAAUACUUCUGUUCAGCAGAGAUGCAUUAAUUGGCCAAAAGUGACAAUAAAGACACUUUCAAUUGUACAAAAUAUUUCUAUUUCACAUAUAUGUUGUUCUUUUGAACAUUCUAUUCAGCAUAUAAUCCUGAAGAAAAUAAAGAAUGUAUCACGGUUUCCACAAAAAAAAA